rnacentral:rRNA from 1 species
AGCUGGGCAACUAUGUACGGAUCGGAUAAACGCUGAAAGCAUCUAAGCGUGAAGCCGACCCAAAGAUAAGAUAUCCCAUUGUUUCAAACAAGUAAGACCCCUUGAAGACUACAAGGUUGAUAGGCAUGAUGUGUAAGUGGAGUGAUCCAUUCAGCAAGCGUGUACUAAUAGGUCGAGGGCUUGACCACAA